GCUGUGAUAGCUUAGUUGGCAGAGCAUGAGACUUAUUAAUCUCAGGGUCAUGGGUUCAAGUUCUGUGCUGGGCA